rnacentral:rRNA from 1 species
GACAGAGGGUGCAAACGUUGUUCGGAAUUACUGGGCGUAAAGCGCGUGUAGGCUGCUUCGCAAGUCGGAUGUGAAAGCCCUGGGCCCAACCCAGGAAGUGCAUUCGAAACUGCAGAGCUGGAGUCCUGGAGAGGAAGGCGGAAUUCUCGGUGUAGAGGUGAAAUUCGUAGAUAUCGAGAGGAACACCGGUGGCGAAGGCGGCCUUCUGGACAGUGACUGACGCUGAGACGCGAAAGCGUGGGGAGCAAACAGG